rnacentral:rRNA from 1 species
GACGAACGCUGGCGGCGUGCUUAACACAUGCAAGUCGAACGGAAAGGCCCUGCUUUUGUGGGGUGCUCGAGUGGCGAACGGGUGAGUAACACGUGAGUAACCUGCCCUUGACUUUGGGAUAACUUCAGGAAACUGGGGCUAAUACCGGAUAGGAGCUCCUGCUGCAUGGUGGGGGUUGGAAAGUUUCGGCGGUUGGGGAUGGACUCGCGGCUUAUCAGCUUGUUGGUGGGGUAGUGGCUUACCAAGGCUUUGACGGGUAGCCGGCCUGAGAGGGUGACCGGCCACAUUGGGACUGCGAGACGGACCAGACUCCUACGGGAGGCAGCAGUGGGGAAUAUUGCACAAUGGGCGGAAGCCUGAUGCAGCAGCGCCGCGUGCGGGAUGACGGCCUUCGGGUUGUAAACCGCUUUCGCCUGUGACGAAGCGUGAGUGACGGUAAUGGGUAAAGAAGCACCGGCUAACUACGUG